rnacentral:rRNA from 1 species
UUUGAAACCUAGUGAUUUAUGACUGAGUGGCGGACGGGUGAGGUAACGCGUGGGCAACCUGCCCGUACCGGGGGACAACAGCCGGAAACGGCUGCUAAUACCGUAUACGUUUUAAGGGACCGCAUGGUACCGUAAAACAAAACUCCGGUGGUACGGGAUGGGCCCGCGUCUGAUUAGCUCGUUGGCGGGGUAACGGCCCACCAAGGCGACGAUCAGUAGCCGGCCUGAGAGGGCGGCCGGCCACAUUGGGACUGAGACACGGCCCAGACUCCUACGGGAGGCAGCAG